AAUGAUGUUUGAAAUAGGGUAUGUGCUGGAAGGAUAUUUGAAAUAGGGCAUGUGCUGGAAGAAUGUUUGAAAUAAGGCAUGUGCUGGAAGGAUAUUUGAAACAUGGCAUGUCUGGAAGGAUGUUUUGUUUGGCAUGGAAUAGGUGCUGGAAAAAUGUGAUUUGGCUUGGCAUGAUUAGUUUGGAUUUGGAUAAUCUAAUGGUUGAGUUGAAUCAAGAUAUAGCUUGAUCUGGCAUGAGGGUUCACUCUUCCGACAACAUGAAUAUAGAGCUUGUGUUAUUUUCCAGGAGCAUCUCGAAUAGCGCAUCAUUAUAUUCCAUGUUUUGUUUGGCUUGAAUCUUGGUUAUUGGGGUUUUGGAAUUGCUGGUGAUGGUGAUUGCAAUGAAUUCCUUCCACAACCCCCAAGCGCACCAUAAUCAAUAUAAAAAGAUUUGAUUAGCAUGAGCUGCAAAAACUCUGACAGCGUGGCCAUGUGAGUAUUUAUAUGUUUUUUUUUUUUCUGUCAAAAGGAUUUAUAGGGUUUAGGGAAGUGGUUGUCAAGUUGUAACAAGUGAUGAUGGACAUGUUUAUGAAAAAUUCGUUGGGUUACACUGUCACUAGUAGUGUCAUAUCUGCUAAUUUUUCGGAAAAUAAAACAAUAAAACAAAAUAUACUAUCAAAAGGAUCGUCUCAACUUUUGAAAAAAAAAAAACAGAAAAAGAAAAAAAGGAUAGUCUCAAAAAUAAAAAUAAAAAUAUCGGCAUAAAAAGGAAAAUUCUGCGGUGCCUCAGCUGUACCGGUGCAGCCAGUUAUCCAAGGGUCAGUAUUGCAUCUUAAAAAUGAAGGGCUGAGAUUGAAUGACCUGAAGACUUGUUGAGCCCUUUGUUAUUAAAUAUCACGUGACAUACACGUGACUGAGAAAACAAGUGAAAAGCUUCAACGAACGCGCGGAAGCCCUGGCGUGCACUGGACCUGCUUAUCUCUGCGAUCGAUCUCUCUCUCUUGGAAAUCCAAUCCUCAUCUAUGUCCCCAAAUCAGAAUCUGGGCGUCUCACCUCUGCCGACGCUGAGAUGCAACAGUCAUCGGACAUCGCCGAUUCCGGAAUCACCAUCCACGCAAGGUUUGCCUGCUUAGUUGUCUUCUUUUUCCAUCAGUUCAAUUCAGAAGAUUACUCGGUUUUUGUCUUUGAAGAAUCUUGAUCAAGAAGCUUGGAAGCAAUUGGGUUUUGGGGUUGAUACAUCUGGCAUAUCACCACAUGCUCUCCAUUUGUUUGCUGAAAUGUCACACUCAUGUUGGGUAUGCAAUGGUGGUACUGCACUUCUUGAUUUUGAUCUUGGCUACCAUAUGGGCAUUCGAGACAAUGGUGGUGAAAAUGGCAAUUGUCCUUUACACAAAGAAUCCGACUGGAAAGAAGCUGGAUAUCAUGACCACGGAGUAAGACUCCGUUUUCAGGCCACUUUUUUGGCGUUACACUCCAAAUAACACGAUUAUAAGCUUAGAUGGGUCUGCUUCAAGAAGCUUUGUUAUAUUCAUAAUCAGCAGUUCAUUUUAGUUGCUUGCAGUUUUUCGGUGCUCUCCUCUUCAUCUCUGCUUUUCUCAUUAAUUCAUUUAUUUAGAGUUGUGUCCAGGUUAGGCUUUGAUUUUUGUUCUUCUUUUGUUUUCUCAGGGGAUUCUUUUGGCAGAGGAGUUGAAGGGUUAGAAACAGUUAGAUCAAUAGCUUCAUUUUGGUUUAUUACGAAGCAUACAUUUGGUAUGUGAUUUGGCAAUAGAACAUAAAUUCAGCCACUUUUCCUGUUUUCAUUAGUUGAUAUUAGUUUUGUUCUUUAAACUAUCUAUUCUGUUUUGUUGUGCAUAAUGGAUGAAGUCAACAAAUUUCAGAGGGGAACAAUUAAGAGAUAAAGCUGUGAAGCAUUUAAGGUAUAUACAUUACUAUUAUUUGUAAAGGAGGAGGACACAACCAGGAGGAAAUUGUUGACGAAGUUAAAGGAUCUUCACAGGCAACCAGCAGUUAGAUUACACACAACAGGUUGUGAGAACAAAACAUGUUUAGCAGACAAACAUGCAAAUUCCACGAAAUAGCAGAUGAUUGUCUUUUUAGGGGAGAAAUAAUUAGUAUAGCUCUACUUUUUCUUUUCUUUUCCUUUUUUGGGUAAAGAGUUAGUUUAAGUACAGAGUUGCCGUAUGAAAUUUGUUAAUGUUUUUGUGUGAUAUCUGUUUUCUCUUUGUAUAAAAAGCCUUAAAGGCUUCUAAUAUUUCCAUUUUCCCAAUUGAACUCCUAUAUUAGUCCCUUUUCCUAUAAUAGGAACAUUUGGUUGCAAUUUUUUUC